UACGUAGGUGACCAGCGUUGUCCGGAUUUACUGGGCGUAAAGAGCGCGCAGGCGGUCGUUCAAGUCGAGUGUGAAAGCCCCCGGCUCAACUGGGGAGGGUCACUUGAUACUGAUCGACUCGAAGGCAGGAGAGGGAAGCGGAAUUCCCGGUGUAGUGGUGAAAUGCGUAGAUAUCGGGAGGAACACCAGUGGCGAAGGCGGCAUCCUGGACCGGCAUUGACGCUGAUGAGCGAAAGCUAGGGGAGCAAACGGG
rnacentral:rRNA from 1 species